ACCACGCUGCCGAAUUGCUUCUGGGUCCCACAUAAACCUCUCGUUACCCGCCCUCCAACAACGCCACAGCUGCAGUAGUAUAACAUAUUCUUACUCUAUGCCAAACACCCGAUCCUCCCCUUCUUCUCCAUUUGUCUCCGCUCUUCUCCGCCGCCUGUCCCUUCGCUCAAAGGAGGAAAAAUAAAAAAUAAAAAUCAAACGAAAAUCUAACUUGGAUCGCCUUCCCAACCCCCCAAAAUUCCUUUCCAAAACCCUAAUUUUCGAUCGAUUUCGCCCCUAAAUCUUUUCCCCCAUCUUGCUAAUGGCGGAAAUCUGAGGAGGAGGAGUACGAGCAGCAGCGAU
rnacentral:lncRNA from 1 species